GGGGAUGUGGCUCAAGAGGUAGCGCGCUCGCCUAGCAUGCGUGCGGCCCGGGUUCGAUCCUCAGCAGCACCA
rfam:Ictidomys tridecemlineatus contig074451, whole genome shotgun sequence.